AUGGGUGAAAGAACAUUCACCAUUAGAAUAACAGCACAGCCACACAGGGGAAAUUCCCAAAGGACCAAAGAACCACUCCAGUUUUUCAGUGCUGCCCUGGUAGAAGGCUGCUUCUAUUGGUGCCUACCCAGAGGGCUGGUGACAACAUCGGACCACCAGCCCGGGCAGAACAGGUGGGAAGCACUAACCCACAGGCAGCUGGGGAGAGCUAUGCAUCCUGUCCACCAUCCCAACAGAAGGCCAUUCCUUCUCACCUGGGUGAUGAGCAGAGGAGCAAACAGCACCUGGAGCUGGGGAUCAGAAAACCUCACCCAGAUCCCAGCCCACAGCCUGAUCAGCACCACCCCAGGAAGCAAUGAGGGAAAAUGUAGAAGAGGGGUCACCUUGUCCCUUCAGACAGACAAGAUCACUUCACUUCAGAGAGAGAACCUUGUCCCCAAGACUCCCAGACCAGAUGACUGGCAGCCAGUCUGUCCUACACAAAGGGACACUGCCCUGGAUGCAUCAGGAAGCUUGUGGCAGCAUCCUGAGGAAGGCUCAGCACACAAGCUCUUCCCAUCUGGGAUAGUGGAUGGCUGGCACUGGACUGUUGGACCGCUCUUAAAACACUCUUGGUGAGCUGGCCUCAAGCGGGGCGCUGAAGGCCCAGGGUGGAUGACGCAUUCCUGCCCCGACUCGGGCUGGCCUGGGAAGGAGGUGGAAGGCUUCCCUAAUGAGAUUCCCAGCCCUGCUCAGUCAACCAGAGGUGGUGAAAUUAGCAAGGGCCAGAGACCUUGCUCUGGCUAGAGCAGAAUCCUAAGAGUCCUCUUGCAAGAAGACCUGUUUGAUCUGGAACAACAAGACCUCAGGAUGAGUGGUAUUUGUGGGUAGCUGGGGAAUUGCUUUGAGGAGGGGGGGAAUAUGUACAUAUUCAUGCGUGGUCGUUUUAAAAAGUCUGGGGAGGAAUCUGCUAAAUGCAAAUUUUAAUUUGAUGGAAGUUUCCAAAUUAUUUCGUGCAACCUCCUAUCUUAACUUGAUACUUAAAUAUUAACUGAACUGUUUUUUUGUUCUGUUUUGUUUUGUUUUUGCUUUUUUAGGGCCAUGUGGAUAUUCCCAGGCUAGGGGUCAAAUCAGAGCUGUAGCUGCCGGCCCACACCACAGCUACAGCAAUGCCAGAUCUGAACCACAUCUGGGACCUACACUACAGCUCACAGCAAUUCCGGAUCCUUAACCCACUGAAUGAGGCCAGGGAUCUAACCUAAGUCAUCAGGGAUAACAGAUGGGUUUGUUACUGUUGAGCCACAAUAGGAACUCCUGAAGUGGACUGUUUUUGACCUCUGAUUCUGAACUAGUUAAAAUCUUAUUUCAUCAGACUGAUUUUUGAAGCCUAGAAGAUUUCUCUCCAGUGGGGUGGAGCCCAUCUACCAAUUCUGGAUGCAUCAAUGUGCUGGCCUAUGGGCUGGCAGGUCUCCACAUCUCAGAUUCAUACAUCUAGAAAACCAGUGUUCUAGGUUAAUAUCUUUUCUUUUUUCCUUUCAAAUUGAUCUUUGGUCUAAUUCACCCUUUUUGGAAGCUAUAACUUUUUUGGGGGGGGGUCUUUUUUGUCUUUUUUUUUUUAGGGCUGCACCCUUGGCAUAUGGAGGUUCCCAGGUUAGGGGUUGAAUCAGAACUGUAGCCACCGGCCUAUACCAGAGCCAUAGCAACGCCAGAUCUGAGCUGCGUCUGCGACCUACACCACAGCUCAUGGCAACGCUGGAUCCUUAAGCCACUGAGGGAGGCCAGGGAUCAAACCCGCAACCUCAUGGUUCCUGGUGGGACUUGUUUCCACUGCUCCACGAUGGGAACUCCGGAAGCUAUAUAACAUAUUUAACAGUGCAUUGAUAAUGUUUGAAUAAUUAUAGAUGAUAUUGAGCUUCUGGAACGUAAAAGAACAGAACUAUGUGAC
rnacentral:lncRNA from 9 species